AAAGUCACACUGGGAUGACAGGGAAGGUCCCUGGACGGAAGAUUAUCUACGCCACAAGCUGAAUGACAAUUAACGGUAACCAGACUAAGAGGGCUUGCCAUUCUGAGUAAAAAGCCAGCCAUGCUGGAAGCACGUGGUCCUCUCCCCAGCCUCAUCAUGACUACUUCCGGCCUUGACAUUCCUCAAUCAACCCAAAAGCCGCGUGCUCGGAGAUAAACUGUUGGUAAAACCCUGGAUCAGCCAAGAAAUGCAGUAAAUGAAGAUUCAAAUUCUUAAAAAAAUUGAAACAUCUUUUCAUUUACACAGACCAUUAAUUACAAAAGAAAGUCUACUGAAAAGAACUAUGAAUAUUCUCACGAAUGCAGUGUUCUACUUUUAAGCCUGGCGAGGAAAAACUUAAAGAAGAUUACUGACCAGCUCCCCACUAGAAGAUUCCAUGAGAACAGGAGCUCGGUCAAUCUUCUUCCUCACUGCAUCCCCAGCACUGUUCCUGGCCUUCAGCAUUAAAUCAUUCAUUCAGCAAAUACUGU